AUGUACGUGUACAUGCUACGUGCGCGCCUAUACUACAACACAUGUGCGCCUCUACUACGACACGUGCGCGCCUCUACAACGACAAGUAUGUACGUACACGUUCGCGACCAGAAUGACAACCCUACGUACGCUUCGACUAGGUGGGUCCCGAUUGUCAGGCACUUCCUUGCCGGCGAAGAUGUAGCUGGUGGGUCCCAGCAGUCAGGGGGGCGAAUCGUUUUUUUUGCCCGGACGUACUUCCUUGCGUGCGAAGAUGUAGCUUUCUGGUGGGUCCCAGCAGUCAGGGGGAAACGAUUUUUUUGCGAAAUACGGUAG
rnacentral:rRNA from 1 species